GACGAACGCUGGCGGCGUGCCUAAUACAUGCAAGUUGAGCGAUGAAGCUUGGUGCUUGCACCAAUUUGAAGAGCAGCGAACGGGUGAGUAACGCGUGGGGAAUCUGCCUUUGAGCGGGGGACAACAUUUGGAAACGAAUGCUAAUACCGCAUAACAACUUUAAACAUAAGUUUUAAGUUUGAAAGAUGCAAUUGCAUCACUCAAAGAUGAUCCCGCGUUGUAUUAGCUAGUUGGUGAGGUAAAGGCUCACCAAGGCGAUGAUACAUAGCCGACCUGAGAGGGUGAUCGGCCACAUUGGGACUGAGACACGGCCCAAACUCCUACGGGAGGCAGCAGUAGGGAAUCUUCGGCAAUGGACGAAAGUCUGACCGAGAAACGCCGCGUGAGUGAAGAAGGGUUUCGGAUCGUAAAACUCUGUUGGUAGAGAAGAACGUUGGUGAGAGUGGAAAGCUCAUCAAGUGACGGUAACUACCCAGAAAGGGACGGCUAACUACGUG
rnacentral:rRNA from 1 species